UUCGGAAAAAUUCUGGAAGACGUC
rnacentral:miRNA from 1 species